rnacentral:rRNA from 1 species
CACAUGCAAGUCGAACGGAAACGAAUAUAGCUUGCUAUUUGGCGUCGAGUGGCGAACGGGUGAGUAACGCGUAGGAAUCUACCCUGUAGAGGGGGAUAGCCCGAAGAAAUUCGGAUUAAUACCGCUUAAUCUCUACGGAGUAUAGAAGGCCUCUUUACAAUGCUUUUACUAUUGGAUGAUCCUGCGUUAGAUUAUAUCGUUGGUCGGGUAAAAGCCUACUUUGGCGACGAUCUAUAGCUGGUUUUACGAGAAUGAUCAGCCACACUGGAACUGAGACACGGUCCAGACUCAUACGGGAGGCAGCAGUGAAGAAUAUUGGACAAUGGGGGAAACCCUGAUCCAGCAAUGUUGCGUGUGUGAAGAAGGUCCGAGGAUUGUAAAGCACUUUCAGUAAGCAAGAAAAAUGUAAAUCUAAUAGAUUUGCAUGUUGACCACUUAUAGAAGAAGCACCGGCUAACUCCGUGCCAGCAGCCGCGGUAAUACGGAGGGUGCGAGCGUUAAUCGGAAUUACUGGGCGUAAAGGGUAAGUAGGCGGUUUAUAAAGUCACAUGUGAAAGCCCUAGGCUUAACCUAGGAAGU